rnacentral:lncRNA from 10 species
CCUCCCCUUAACCCCCUCCACCUGCACCUUUGCCACUCUCUCUCUCUCUCUCUUGCACGCUCUCCCUGUCUCUCUCUCUCUCUCUCUCACACACACACCACCCAACAAAUCCAUAUAAAAGCAACUCUUACAACUAGUGAACAAGUUCAGCAGUGUUGCACGACACAAGAUCAAUAGGCAAAUAACUCAAAAUCGAUCAUAGACAUAAAUGUAAGAAAUAAAACUAUAAAAAUCUCAGAAGAAAACAUAGGAGCAAAUCCUGACCCUGGGUUAGGCAAUGGUUUCUUAGUUAUGACACCAAAAGCAUGAGCAACAAAAGAAAAAUAGACAAAUUGGACAUCAAAAUUAAAAACUUUUGUGCUUCAAAGUACCCAGAACCUUCCAGGGCACUAAUUGCCUAAACAGC